CGCUCCCGUCCUCUCUCUCUCUCUCUCUCUCUCUCUCUCUCUCGGUCUCGCUCUGUGCGGCGGAGUAAAUCACAGAGGAUUUUAAUUAAACGUGUCACGCAUUUCGAACCUGAUAUACACGUAACCAUGGCCAAUGGCUCCCUCGUAAUAACGCGCACGCAUAUCGCGUCGCCCGUAAUCAUCGGCCCUGAUACGACGAUGAACUUUCCGCCGUUACAAGACGUUUAAAAUUUUGCCCUUUCGUAUCGACGUAUGGCCGUCCGUAGGAAAAUUUUUAAAUUCCGUUUUUUCCAGCCACCGUGCACGCCACGAGGGAGCGGAGAACGCCGCGAAAUCGGAUCUUCGCCCGUGUCCAUACGCUGGAUGCGCUUUUCGAACGAAGAUCGCCUCUCAUUUGCAACGACACGUGCGCCUCCACACGGGCACGAAGCCGUACAAGUGUCGCCAUUGCCCUUACGCGAGCAACAAUUUGGAGAAUCUUAGAAAGCACGUGUUGUCCACGAAUCUGCAUCCAGGGAAGACGAUUUACGAAUGCGACGUUUGCCCGGGAGACAACCCGGAACCAUUUCGGACAAAUUUCGCGAAAGAACUUCGCGCCCAUUUGUUGGAAGUGCACAGUGACACGUUUUCUACGCCUAGCCACGCGAACGACUACGUUAUCGGAAUUUUUAAAGUCCAUCGGAGCACGGAUUUCGUCGACGAGCCGAAUUAAUCGGGUUCGAUCGUUCGUUUCCCCGAUGGAACGUUGGAAAUUUACGACGGCACGUGCGUCUUAAAAUUGGUAAAAGGCGACCCGCAACGGUUCACUUCGAAACACCGCGGCAACGUCUUUCAAAUAUAUCUUUCGGAUCGACGAUUGCUCGCGGGAGUAUCGUUGAAUUAUCCCCGAUGCACCCGGCAUAGCGCACGGAUGCGCGCGUUAGUCUUGGACGUUGGUGGCGUUGUUGUUGCCUCUCGUUGUUCGCGAUCGUGCGAACCGGUAGGCCUGUACCACGCCAGGAAAUAGUUAAAGUGAUGUACGGUCACGUGGCACGGUACGUAAGCACUUCGGACGCGUAUACGAUCGAAUCUUUAUAUCCCUUCGAGUUUUGAGAUAUUAUGAGAAUCUCGUUCGAGUUCAUCCGUCGUAAAUUAUCAUGGAUACAUAGACGUAACCCGCAUUUACAGGGUUCUAAUUGGUUUCGUAUGUAUUGAAAAAGACGUAUAUCGAAAUGAGCAUGAAGUAUAUAAAUACGAUAGAUACGAAUUUAA